UGGGGAAUCUUCCGCAAUGGACGAAAGUCUGACGGAGCAACGCCGCGUGAGUGAAGACGGCCUUCGGGUUGUAAAGCUCUGUGAUCCGGGACGAAAGAGCCUGAGGUGAAUAGCCUAAGGAAGUGACGGUACCGGAAAAGCAAGCCACGGCUAACUACGUGCCAGCAGCCGCGGUAAUACGUAGGUGGCAAGCGUUGUCCGGAAUUAUUGGGCGUAAAGCGCGCGCAGGCGGCUUCCUAAGUCCAUCUUAAAAGUGCGGGGCUUAACCCCGUGAUGGGAUGGAAACUGGGAAGCUGGAGUAUCGGAGAGGAAAGUGGAAUUCCUAGUGUAGCGGUGAAAUGCGUAGAGAUUAGGAAGAACACCGGUGGCGAAGGCGACUUUCUGGACGAAAACUGACGCUGAGGCGCGAAAGCGUGGGGAGCAAACAGG
rnacentral:rRNA from 3 species